GGACAUGAUGAUAAAUCUUGACACCUAGUCUUACUUGCAUUAAUUGGUGCAAGAUGGUGAUGGUGUUCGACCUUUUAUCUGAUCC
rfam:Punica granatum cultivar Dabenzi scaffold96, whole genome shotgun sequence.